CAAUCUUUGAAAUGAAAAUUUCAUUUCAUUUAAAAUACUCCAAGAAUAAAAAAUAAACAGUAUUCUAAGAAUAGUAAAAGGCUCUCUGAUAUCUACAGAUUAAAAUAAUUUUAAAAUUAUAAAAAAUAGUAACCAAUGGGCAAUACAAUCUACCAUACAGUUUCUAUCACUUAAUUAUGCAAUUUGUGUUUAAGAUAAACAGGUAUUGGGGGCGCCUCUGUGGCUCAGUGGAUUAAGCAUCCAACUCUGGAUUUCAGCUCUAGUCAUGGUCUCUUGGUUUUGUGGGUGCCAGGAAUGGCUCUGAGCACAGACUGCCAUAGCCUUCCGGGGAUUCUCCCUCUCUCCCUGCCCCUCCCCCGCUCACACUCUGUCUCAAAAUAAAAAAAGACUUUAAAGAAAAAAAGACAAACAGGUACUUAAACCUUGAGUUUCACAGAAGAGCAAACUCUUAAUUUUCCCUUUUAACAUCAUUCACCAGAUGGUCUAGAAAUCUUUGAUCUGGAAGCCUUAGCUGGUUUCCAGACCUCUAGCGGAGGUAUUACCCUCCUAAAACUUGUGUGAUUUCUUGUCCACUCUCUGGGACUGAAUCAUUAGACUCUUACAGUAAAGCUACUAACCACCAGAAAGUUAGAUAAUCAGCCAAAUAGGACAGAAUGAAUUUUACAACACAAAUCAGGGACCCAUUUCCUACAGACUAAUUCACAAAAAUUGCCUUACAGGAGGUCCCAUCAACAUUUCUAUCUAAAUGUCCUGAUAACCGCAAGCCCAACAACCAUUCAUUUUGAAUUACAUUCUUUCAAAAACUGGUUAUCAACUUCCAUCCCAAACACAAGCUCAGUCAAGUCUAUCUGGUUCCCACGCGAGUACUGGGGCGUGGGCCUGUUCAUCUCCGGGCCUCCCCACCCAAAAGUCUCCCUUAGUUUCGAUGUCCAGAGAGGUCUCUAGCAGGGUUGUUCCGUGCAGUCGGUCCCUAACCUCCCGCCUUCCCAGCCCUCUGCUAUCCAGGCAAGUGCCCGCCGCUGACGCGACCUUUCUGCCUCGCCCUCGCCUCCCCUUCUCCGCAGUCCCGCGUCCGGCGUGUCUCCAGCCUCAAGGGAAAGCGUUAGUUGACGUCUGCAGCCUGCUAACUACGGGUGCGAGGAAGAUUAACCCACUUCCAACUCAAGGUCCUCCCACCACCCAGUCCCCAGACAGACGCCCCCAAAAGGAUAGGAGGGAGACAGGCCAGCGCGCACGCGCGGGACCCCGCCCGUUCUGCCGGCGCGCGCCCGGCCGUAGAAGCCGCCAGCCAAUCAGAAAGUGCCCAGCCUCUACGCCCCCAGGUCCGCGCGCGUCUGUCCUUUAAGGGCGGUAUUCGAAUACAAUAGCCCGCUAGCGGACAAUCCCAUCGCUUAGUGUCUUUCAGUCAUCGCCCCUAGAGACGCCCUUUCCAGGGGCGGCCUCAAAGCCUCUCCCAAAGGAGGGAAAGUGGGUGGUGGGGGAAGGGUGGGGAGUGAUGUAGGGUUUUUCAUUGUCAAGAAAACCCCUUACACUCUCCAGGCUUCCCCCACUCGCAUCUCAGGAUAAUGAAACGCCUCUUGGCUGGGCUUAAGUUAGUAGCAGACUUUGUGUUAAACGAAUGAGGCAUUAGUUCUUCUUUCAAAUGGUAAGUUCUCCUCGUGAGGUAAUGCACAUCCGCGCGCUACCCAGAAUUCCCCAGUUCCCGCGUGGCGUGUUUCCGGUCUGCGUGCUGCGGGGGAGCAGCAGGGCGAGGCUCCAACGUUCGGGAACCACUUCAGCGUGCCCCGCCCCUGCAGGUCCUAGCCCGUUUUCUCCCCUGAAAUCAAUAGUUUCCUUGUAUUUUAUGAUUGUAAGAAGAAAACUGCUUUCAAAAAGUGCCUGCUCCCUGCAAAACUGAUAGAACUUUGGACAAUACCAGCGAUCAGCAAGAUUUCAGAAUAAGGAUAAAAAUGAUUUCUGUGGGAAGAUCUCAGUAUACCCCACAAAUAGGUGCCUUUGGAACAUCCAUGUGUCAACAUCAAGUUUGCUGCUGUAAAUGUUUGUCCGAAACCCAGGAAAGAGGUAGGGCAGGAGCCAAUCAGGGUAGAACACUCAUGAAUGGGAUUCAUCUUCAUAUAAGAGGCCAGAGAGGUAGCCAGAUUUCAUUCCACCAAGUGAGGAUACAACAAGGAGUCAGCAGUCUGCAACCUGGAAGAGGCCCUCACCAGAACCUGACCAUGCUGGCAUCUUGAUCUUGGGCUUCCAGCCUCCAGAACUAGGCAGCAUGGAGUUGAGAAAAGAGAAACAAGAUUCAAAUUAGGAGACCCAACUUUUGAAUCUCCAUCUUCACCAUCUACUGGCUGAGUAGUCUUUCAUUCAUUUAUUCAACACGUAUUUGUUGAGCCUACUCUGUGCCAGGUACUGUUCUGGGUACUGAGGAUAGAGCAGUUAACAAACAAAAGUCCCUACUCUCAUGGAAUUUACAUUUGGUGGGGAGAGACCACCAAUAAACAAAGUGAAUAAGUAAAAUAUAUGUCAUCACCAUAGAAGGUGAUAAGUGCUAUAGAGAAAAAUAAAGAAAGGAAGAUAGGGAGUGUGGAGGGGCAGAGGGUGCAACUUUAAGUAGAGUCAAUAACAUUUUUCUUGACAAGACCAAACUGAUAAAGUGACAAUUGAGUUACCACCCAAUGGCUGUGAGAGAAUGAGUCAUGUGGAUUUCUGGGGACUGAGAGAGCAGCAAGUGCAAAGGCUCUGGGGUUGUAAGUGGGCUUGAUGAAGAAAAGCAAGGAACUAGUAUGGCUAAUGGGAAGUGAACGGGUGAGCAGGGCAGGGGAGUUCAGAAAGAGAGGAGGCUGUGAGGGGCUGGACGGUGACCUGUGACUGAGUGAAUUAAUUUCUGACAACUAUAACAAUUCCUUGUUCUCUGAGGUUUAAAUAAAGUAAUAUACAUGAAAAGUGUCUGUGGCAGACCUGAGCAGAUGGAAAUAAAUUUAAUUGCCUGCAA